rnacentral:lncRNA from 1 species
CCAACAUUCUAAUGACAACCAUUUCACUAAAUUCUUCAUUUUUAGAAAUCAAGUCUACUUUCUGAAUAUGUAUUCUAUGAAGCGCACUUAGAAAUUAAAAUAGUCAAUUUCAUCAGAUCAACUAAAAACAGUUAAUUAUUACUAUUUCAACUAAAUGAAGCAAAUUUAAAAUAUUAGAAGAAGCCUAAUUCUAACAUAGUGAACAAUGAUAAGUAGAUUAGUGAUAUAUAUUAACAACAAUUAAUAAAACCUUCCAGCUUAAGAAAAUUAAAUGCUAUUUAACCAACCAACUUUAAUUGCUUAAUAAGCCACACCAAUACUCACUCUAGAAAUCAACAUGUUCAACAAAAACGAAUUAUUGAAAGUGCAAGAGAUUAAGUCUAUUGGAUUACUAGUACUUCCCUAGUUGCAGUAAAUGAUCUAGUCCCUCCAUGGUGAUUAUAAAGAAGCUUCGAACGAUUGAGUUUCCUGGCUGCAGAUCGUUUCUUAAAACCAACAACAAUAUCUUAAAGUGAGUAAUUUGGCAUCUCAUUCAUUCCGCUUUAAUUAACAAUAUUGUAAAGUAGUAUAAUAACUUAACAUGCCAAAAACUUAUCACUUUCAAAAUGUGCACACAUUCAUUCCCAAUCAUCUUGUGAUUUGACAGUUGAUGGCUUACAUUGUAGUGGAUCUUUUCCAUGCAAUUUUAACUGAAAACGUCUUUCAACAAUUUCAACCAUCUGAUGAUCAUUUAAAUCAACAUCAAAUUUUUCCUAAACAUAGAGAAAAAAUGAAUUACAAAAUUUACUUAUAAGAAGAUGAUUAUAGGUUAACCUAAGAAAGGGAUCCAGAAUUUGAGGAAACGAUCUAUCAUGAGGAGUUGCCUGACUCCAACCUGUCAAGCGUUACGAAACAACAUUUCGCAUGAUGUUUAGGGGUCCUUGUUAUUUUUCCUCUUUUAAAAGCUCAAAGUUGAGCUGUUUGGAGCUGGUUGAUUGUAAAUUAGACCAUUAAAUAUAUUUCAGUCUCAAAACUUCAUCAAUAAAUGCUGCUAUAAUCAAUAUUUUCUUUUACUUUUGUAAAAAUUAAUAGUAAGCACGUGCGUUGCACAUUUUAUGUAUAAGACGAAUGAUAUGCCUAAUAUUUUUAUGUACUAAUAAUGUUCAAUAUUACUAAUAUAUAUAUAUAUACACACAUAUACAUACACACAAUUUUUAUAAAAUUAUGUAUAAUGUGAAAGGUUAAAUAAUUUGUACACGAUAUUUUUGUUAACAUCCUACAACUUUUCUUCCUUCUUAUUUUCUAUUUUAAGUUUUUUUAUCAAAACUUUUGUUGUUUGCAUUGAAACUCCACAAAAAAGUGUAAGAUAUAGUUGUCCAUAGGAUAAUACAUGUUCUAAAAUGUAUAUUCUAAUAGUAAGCAUUGUUUUUCCUUAAGCUUUGUUAACCGACUUAAUAAAAUAUGUCAUUUCAAGUAAAUUAUAAAAAUAAAUAGUAUUAUUGUAAUUUCUUUUAAUUGUAUGUAAUAAAAUUUCUAUUAAUUGCGUACUAAUAAUUAGUAAUAAUUGUAUUUAGUGGAAAUUAAUUGACUUAGUUUUUUAAAGCAAUAAUAAUUAUUAAUUAUCUUAUUUAGAAGUUAUAAAUUGAGUAUUAAAGGGGCAUUGUUCACCAAAAAUAUAAAAACAUAAAAGUAAAAUGUGAAAUUGAAUGUUUAUCAUCUAUUCACAAUUAGGUUAUUGAAAAAUGAAUUAUUUUUUUUUAUCAUAUUUUAUAAAAUUAAUAUAAAGUAAUGGUGAUUAAAGAGUUGAUAGAUUAUUAUAAAAUGACUUUUCAUCUAAUACUUAUUAAGUAAAUAUUAGUUAAUGGGAUUUUUUUUUACUAUUAUUUUUAUUUUCAAUGAAAUCUUUUAGGAAUGCACUAUUCUUUUAAUUUGUAAUAUUAGGUUUAAAAAAAUUUAAGCGUAUAUAUAAUUUUAUUGUUUUUAUAAACCUUAUAUAUUAAUGUUAAUUGACUUAAUAGUCUAUGCCAUUUCAUUUUAAUUAUAUAUGUGGUAUUGUUAUAAUUUUUAUUUUGUUUUUAUAUAAGUUUUUAUUAAUCAUAUACUUAUAAUUAGCAAUAAUAGUGUUUAGUGGAGAUUAAUUGACUCAAUUUAAAAGAUAAAUCAUUUUAAUUUUAAUAAUUAUUGAAUUUAGUUGAAAUAAAUUUAAUUUUAAGAGUAUUAUUGACCAUAAACAUAAAAAUAAAAGGGUAAAAUGGAAAAUUAAAUAUAUGAGGAUAAAUGAGGGUAUAUUGGACUUAAAGAUAAAUAUGUAAGGGUACAAUUGGUAAUCAAAAGUUUCUCCUCAAUCCCCACUUUUAAUAUAUUGUAGAUAGAUAUAUUAAAGAAUUGGUUCUUAAAUUAAAAGAAGGUAAAAUGUUUAGGGAUCCUUGUCAUUUUUCCUCCUUCAAAAGCUCAAAAUCGAGCUGGUUGAUUGUAAAUUAGAUUCUUAAAUGUUAAAGGGUUCUUCGUUUGAGAAUUGAGACACCCCAAUCUUCAAGGAGCUCAUUGUUUUAAUGAUAUUUAGUAUAUUCUUUUAAAGUAAUCUACCCAAAUUUGUAGACAGAGUUUUCCCAAGUUCAGCAAAGACAACAUCAAGCAGCCUACUGCAGCUCAUUACCAUGAAGUGUGUCCUACUAACCAUUAGAAGUUAACAUCCUUCAAUACUAGACCCACUUCAACUAUUUUAAAAUAUCAAAUUUAUGCUGUCUGUUGGCCUUGUAAGAGCAUCAUGACACAAUAAAUAAUGGCAUGUUUAUCACAAAAUGCUAAAAAGAAUGAGGUCCCAAACCACAUUCCAUGUGCACCAACUGCUCUAUCGAAAAGGGCAUUGAGUUGUGCUUGCUGUCUAUACAAAAUCAAAUCAAAACUGUGAAAAAAACAACAAAAUGAGCAAGUCUGUCUUUUGUUUACAUUAUCCCUGAUCAUAUCCAGUAAAUGUCACCCUUAUUAAUUUUAAUAUUCGGAAACUUGUCCCAGUCCAAAUCAGAUUUUUAAUCUCCUAAAGCUGAUUUUGAAUAAAAAAUUAUGAAUCUUCCAGCCUCAUUCAAAAUUUACAAUCAACGUAGUAUACAUACACAAUCAUAGAAAUAGGGAUAAGAAAAUGCCAUCACAAGUUAUUUCGAGAACCAAUGCAAAUGAUUGAAAAACGAGUAAAAGAAGCCGACUAUAUGUAUAGAGAGAAGCGGAGAUACCGAAUAAGGAGAGAUAUUAGCCGAUGGCAUGUGUCAAACACUGGACCAGGUAAUUGAGGUAUGAUUAGAUGCAGCGGCAACGGCUCGAAGAAGAAGAUGUGGAGAAGGGUUGAAUUCUAGACGUGGGUUAUGGCAUUUCCUCUGCCUUUUAAAUGGAUAGUUAUAGAUUUAUUUAUUUUGAAAAUCAAUUGUAAUUGAGCUAUGUUUCUAAGGCCAUGUUUUUA